CGGGAUAUGGCGCAGUCCGGUAGCGUACUUGUCUGGGGGGCAAGGGGUCGUGGGUUCAAAUCCCGCUAUCCCGACAA
rnacentral:tRNA from 5 species